rnacentral:rRNA from 1 species
AACGAACGCUGGCGGCAGGCCUAACACAUGCAAGUCGAACGAACUCUUCGGAGUUAGUGGCGGACGGGUGAGUAACACGUGGGAACGUGCCUUUAGGUUCGGAAUAACUCAGGGAAACUUGUGCUAAUACCGAAUGUGCCCUUCGGGGGAAAGAUUUAUCGCCUUUAGAGCGGCCCGCGUCUGAUUAGCUAGUUGGUGAGGUAAAGGCUCACCAAGGCGACGAUCAGUAGCUGGUCUGAGAGGAUGACCAGCCACAUUGGGACUGAGACACGGCCCAAACUCCUACGGGAGGCAGCAGUGGGGAAUCUUGCGCAAUGGGCGAAAGCCUGACGCAGCCAUGCCGCGUGUAUGAUGAAGGUCUUAGGAUUGUAAAAUACUUUCACCGGUGAAGAUAAUGACUGUAGCCGGAGAAGAAGCCCCGGCUAACUUCGUGCCAGCCGCCGCAGUAACAC